rnacentral:rRNA from 1 species
CAUGCAAGUCGCGGGGCAGCAUGAAUUUAGCUUGCUAAAUUUGAUGGCGACCGGCGCACGGGUGAGUAACGCGUAUCCAACUUCCCCUGUCCACGGGAUAGCCCGUCGAAAGGCGGAUUAAUACCGUAUGAGGUCACAUGCUGGCAUCAAAGUGUGACGAAAGGUUUAGCGGACAAGGAUGGGGAUGCGUCCGAUUAGGUAGUCGGCGGGGUAACGGCCCACCGAGCCGACGAUCAGUAGGGGUUCUGAGAGGAAGGUCCCCCACAUUGGAACUGAGACACGGUCCAAACUCCUACGGGAGGCAGCAGUGAGGAAUAUUGGUCAAUGGACGUAAGUCUGAACCAGCCAAGUAGCGUGCAGGAUGACGGCCCUAUGGGUUGUAAACUGCCUUUAUGCGGGGAUAAAGUUUGGGAUGUAUCCCAUUUUGCAGGUACCGCAUGAAUAAGGACCGGCUAAUUCCGUG